rnacentral:rRNA from 1 species
GACGGAGGAUGCAAGCGUUAUCCGGGAUGAUUGGGCGUAAAGCGUUCGCAGGUGGCUAUUCAAGUCUGCUGUCAAAGACCGGGGCUUAACCCCAGAGAGGCAGUGGAAACUGAAUGGCUGGAGUGCAGAUCGGGUAGAAAGAAUUCCCAGUGUAGCGGUGAAAUGCGUAGAGAUUGGGAAGAACACCGAUGGCGAAAGCGCUCUGCUGGACUGCAACUGACACUGAGGGACGAAAGCUAGGGGAGCGAAAGGG